GUUAAAACUCUAGUUCCCGUAUCAUCACUGAAGUUAAACAAUGUCAAGCCUGGUCAGUACCUAGAUCAGUGACAACUUGGGAAUACCAGGUGCUGUAAG